ACAUGGUGGGUUUGGGUCAGUAGCUGCCAUUUGUAGAGAUGGUAGCGGGGAGUACCAAGGAGCGUUAGUGAUCCUGUUUAAUAAUGUUGAUGAUCCAGAGACGUUGGAGACCUUGGCAAUAUGUGAAGCUUUGGCCCUUGCUGAUGACCUGCUCUUCCAUAGUAUUUCAGUGGCGUGAGAUUGCAAGGUGGCUGUCGAAGCGAUCAAGGAAGGCACAUGUGCACAGUAUGGGGCUGUGGUACAUGAAAACAUAGACCGCUCUAGAGUUUUUUCUUCUUGUUUGAUUAAUCAUGAAUUUAGGACCUUGAAUGUUGAGGCUCACAAACUUGCAAAGCAUGCGUUAGCCCUGGGUUUUGGCCGCCAUGUCUGGUUAGGUCACCCAGGAAAUUUGGAUUUCGUCCCUAUAAACAUUGUGACGAGUGAAUAAAAGCUUUGUGAGUUUGUCUCAAAAAAAGUUAACGAGCGCUCCUUCGGGAGCCUCGCAACGAUCAGCGCCACUUGGCGCGCUCCCAACCAUUCGCCACGUGUCACGCUCUGGGUGCUUCCUUCAGAUUUUCUUUUCGCACGCGUUUUCGGUUUUUUAAACUUUUUUUUGACGUUUUGGUUUUUCACCGGUCUUCCUUAGCUUUUCAAUAAAAAAAUUGCACGAAAAACGCGCUUUUUUUCCUUUCGCGAGAGUCACGGUUUUGCUUCCGUGAGAGGCAUCGUGCCUCUCGGAAAGGGAAAAACGCGUUUUCUGUUUUUUUUUCUUUCGCAGAGUCACGGUUUUGCUUCCGCAAGAGGCACGGGUGUGCUUUCGCGAGAGUCACGGCCGUGCCUCUCGGAAAGGAAAAAAACGCGUUUUCUGUUUUUUUUCGUGAGAGUCACGAUUUUGCUUCCGCAAGAGGCACGGUUGUGCUUUCACGAGAGUCACGGUCGUGCCUCCUCGGAAACGAAAAAAACGUGUUUUCUCUUUUUUUUCCUUCCGCAAGAGUCACGGUUUUGCUUCCGCAAGAGGGACGGUUGUGAUUUCGUCAGAGGCACAGGCGUGCCUCUUUCAGAAAGGGAAAAAACCCGUGCUCCUGGUUCAGUUUUUUCGUCUGUUUUUUUUCGUGAAAAAAAGUUCGUCAAAACCUAUCAACAUGGGAUCUAGUUUUGAAAAUCUCGACGCGAGGAAUCCAACGAUGAAAGCGGUUCGAGAUUUGGACGCACGGUUUGAGAGAUAAAAUGUUUUGAAUAAACGGAUCUACGAAAAAAGGGAAAACUCCCAGGUUGCGACAAGUGGCGCGUUGCAUGUGCACCACUUGUCGCAACCAGGGGAAUUGGAGUGAUCUUUGCAACGGGUACUCCUCAAUUAGUGAUUUCGCACUCAGGCGGCCGCCGGGACGUCGAUAAGGACCGAACGUUCGGUCUGGGGGCCUCCUAGACCGAACAAGAAGUUCGGUGCGACAGGCUGCCCCGUACGAACGAAAUCGUUCGGGAGGAGAGGCCUCCCAGCCCGAACGCUCUCCUCCUCGUCGCCCCUACGGGCCUUUUCUCUAUACAAAAAAGCCCACAAGAACGAAAAAGCCCUAUUUUUGCUGUGACAAAAUAGACAUUGUUCGUUUGCACGACAAAAAAUACCAUGGACUUUUGCCAUGCUAUGAAAAAAGUUGUUCAACAAUUUGCCAUGUUCUGCACAAAAAAAUGUUUGUUAUGUUAUACUCAAAUUUGCCAUCUUCAACAUUUUCUACAAAAAUUGCCAUGUUCCCAUGGCAGCUAACAGAAGUUCAUCUAGAGAUUUAUGUCAUGCAUCACCUUAUAUUAGAAGUAAAAAAUGCCAUGGCAAAAAAAGUAAAAAUUGUCGUGCAUUAAAAAUAAAAAUUGCAAUGGCAAAAAAAGAGUAAAAUUUGCCAUGGCAAAAUAAAGUAAAAAUUGUCAUGUCAUUAGAAGUAAAAUUGCCAUGGCAAAGAAAGAGUAAAAUUUUGCCAUGGCAAAAUGAUGUAAAAUUUGCCAUCUCAUUUAAACUAUAAUUGUCAUGGCAGAAAAAGUAAAACUUGCCAUGGCAAAAUAAAGUAAAAAUUUCCAUGGCAAAAUGAAUAAAAUUCGCCAUGUAAUUUAAAGUAAAAUUGCCAUGGCAAAAACAUAUUAAAAAAUUUCCAUGGAAAAUGGAAGUAAAUUUGCCAUCAACUAAAAUUGCCAUGGCCUAAAAAUAUACAAUUUGCCAUGAACCGUAAACUAAACUUGCCGUGGACAUAAACUAAAUUUGCCAUGGUGCAUAAACUAAAUUUUCCAAGGUGCAGAAAAGAAUUUUUGCCAUACAUCUAUCUCUUCCUUGAAGAAAAGAAUGUAAAAACAGUAAAUACCAUGGCAGAAGUAGCUCCGUAAAAUCAUGGCAACUGUGCAUAUAUGAAUCUGCCAUGCUAUUUAAAUAAAAUAGAUUGCCAUGGGAUGUUAAACAAAUUUGACAUGAUCCACGUAGUAGGGUCAUGACAAAGGUCACUACCUAAAUAUCAUGGCAAAAAUUGUCAUGAUCUACUUGGUAGGGGCAUGGAAAGGUCGCUACCUGAAAUAUGUCAUGUUUGAGUAACCUACUUUUAAGAAAUUUUCCAUGUCAAUGUAUGAAAACAUGUGCCGUGUCACUUUAGGAAAAAAUGUCAUGCGGCCAAAUGCAAAAUUUCCCUAUAGAUGGAAAGUGUAAGUAGACUGAAAAUUAUGAAUUAUUUCAUAUGAUUAUUUGCCGUGUCACUCCACAUUGCCACAUUAUUUCGAAUAUUUCUCCUAAUUUUGUCAUGGCCUACUACUAACCUAUAUCCACAAACUAAAACUCAAUACGAAUGAGCUACCAACCAACAAACAGUUGAAGGCCACUUGAUUGGGCAAAAGAACAAGGCAACUACACCAAGUUAGUAUAAGAAAAAUGUCAUGUAUGUAGUGCGCAUUUUCUUCGUCUCAAUCAUGUAGUGGAAAAAGAGUUGCCAUGAUACACGAAUUACAUUUGCCAUGGGUAAUUAAUAUAUAUUGACAUGGCCCCAUAAGAAAUAGAAAUAGUUUGCCAUUGUUGGAAAAGGAAAAAAGAAUUUGCCAUUACCCAUAAACUACAAUUGCUAUGCUUCCUUGAACUUAAAAGCCAUGAUACAUAAUAAUCCGAGGGGAUUCAUCUUCCAUAGCUUGCACACAAAGUGAACACAAAACAAAAGUUGCCAUGUGAAAAAAUGAACUCAUCAGUGAUGUUUAUAAACUACAAUUGCCAUGCUUCCAUGAACUUAAAAUGCCAUGGUAUGCAAAUAUCCUUGGGCAUUCAUCUUCCAUAGCUUGCACACAAGUGAACACAACAAAUAUUGCCAUGUGAAAAAAUGAACUACGUAAUUUGAUUGCACAUUGAAAAUUUCAACUAUCCACCCGACUGAUGAUAGAGAGCUCAAAUGUCCAAGGAACAAACCUGUAGCCUGCAACAUCCUUAUGCAGGCGACGCAUCUACUGGUGUUGCGCCAGGACCUAGCCUUGUAGGGACAGCGGCCGCUGCCGGAGUAGAUGCCAGCGCCGCCGGGCUGCAGGGGAUUCUGGCGCCGCUGAAGGAGGCGCCCAGGUCGGCGAUACGUUCGAGCUCGCCGACGCCUGCAUCAUGGAGCAUGCCCCGUGGCUGGUCGGUCUGGACCUCCUUGUGCGGAGGACGACGCAGCUGAGGCGACCCCGGCCACAAGCGUCCAGGCGGCCGCCGUCGUGGAUCCUUGGAAUAAAAUGCCAACAGGUUUUCCCUCAAAAAAAUUCCUGACGGGUAUCUGCGGCGGCUCAGUUUAUAAUGGACGAAGCACAAGCUCCAUGCUACUGGAUCAAGGGUUCGAUUCAUGUAAAUUUUUAAUCAAUUACCUUCAAGACUUUGAUUGUAAUCUUUGCACAAUUUUUUUUAAUUUUUGGAUUUUCGCUUCUACACAGGUUGUAUUUUUGGAGGAGACAAGGAACCUAGGACGGGGCGAGGACCAUAGCCAGACUUGAGAUGCUUGGAUAAUUUUGUAAAUGAUAUUACCAACGCCGUCGGUGAGAAUUUUGAGGAAUUAGAUGUUCGUAGCGAUGAGAAGAACAUGUUGUUAAAACAUUAGAUUCUGAAAAAUAUCCUAAUUAGGGUAUUACAAAUUCAAGUGCACAUGAAAAUACUUUAAAUUAUGAAAACCAAACGUCAAUGAACUAGAAGUUUGUCCUUUUUUAGUUAAAUGUUUUAAAUUAAAUAAAAUUUUAUGUGAAAAUUUUCACUCUACAAUAGUUAUUGGGCCCAUAUUUUUUAUUCUCUCGGGGCCUCCGAAAAGCCAGGACCGGCCCUGGCCCCGGCCGGCCGCCUCCCUUGCCAGGACAAUGGCAUUAAGGACAUUUCUAACCGAUCUCUUAUCCCGCGUUAAAGUACUAAAACUGAUUUUUUACUCUUCUAACGUGUAACUAACCAAUCCCUAAUCCACCAUAAGGGAGUUAAAAUUAUACUCCGUCCCCAACUUUCUCCCUAAAUAUAUUCUGUCUGGAAGCGGCCGAGUAUAAUUUUUCUUCACGCAAAGACCUCCUAGUGCCGGCCGGCGACUCACGUGAAGCUCCCAUGGCCUCGUCGGCGACUCCUGCCCGUACUACUGCUAGUACAGCCACUGCGUGUUGCUGCUGCCCGUCGCUACUACGUGUUGCUGCUGCUCGCCGCCGCCGGUGCGUGGUGCUGCUGCUGCUCGCCGCUGGUGCGUGUUGCUGCUCCUCCCCGUUGCACGCUGUUGCUGCUGCUCGCUGCCACCGGUGCAUGCUGCUACUACCGUUCGCCACUGGUGCGUGAUGCUUGUCGCUGCUCCUCCCGCUGCGUGCUGCUACUCCUACUACUCGUUGUCGUCGGUGCGUGCUGCUGCUGCUUGCCGUCGGUGCAUGCUACUGCUACAAUUCACAGCUGGUGCGUGCUGCUCACCGAUGCUCCUCCUCCUGUGUGCUACAACUGCCGCUCCUCGCACGCUCCUCCUCCCGCUGCUACUGCUCGUCACCGCCGGUUGCAUGGUGCUGCUGCUCGCCGCCACCGGUGCGUGUUGUUGCUACUGUUCGCCACUGGUGUGUGUUGCUACUGCUGCUGCUCCCGCGCUCCUGCUCCCGCUACUACUGCUCGCCGCCGUUAGUGCGUGAUGGUGCUACUGUUCGCCACUGGUGUGUGCUGCUACUGCUGCUGCUCGCCACUGCUCCCCCCGCUGCGUGCUGCUAUUGCUACUGCUCGUCGUCGCCGGUGCGUGAUACUGUUGCUCAUCGUCGUGCGGUGCGUGUUGCUGCUGCUCGCCGCAACAGGUGUGUGCUAUUGUUACAGUUCGCAAUUGGUGUGUGCUGCUCACCGCUGCUCCUCCCGUUGCGUGUCGCAACUGCUGCUCAUUGCCGCUGCUCCUCCCGCUGCUGCUUCUCGCCGCCGCCGGUGCAUGUUGUUGCUGCUACCGUUCGCCACUGGUGCGUGCUACUCCCUGUUGCUGCUCCCGCUACGUGUUGCUGCUGCUCACCACUGCUCCUCCCGCUAUGUAUUGCUACUGCUGCUCGCAGCUGAUGGUGCGUGCUGCUACUAUUGCUCCCUGUUGUGUGCUUCUAUUGUUGAUGCUCGCCGCUGGUGUGGUCAGCAUGGUUGCCACUCGUCGCGAAGGUGCAUAACAAGUGUUCAACGAAUUGUAUGAGCCAAAUUUAAGUUUACUCCAUUAUAUAUAGGGGAUCAGCUAGGUCCAGCCAAAACUUAGUGGAGUAAAUAUACUCCACUGAGGUUUACUCCUCUAUUUGUUAAGGGAUCGGUUAGAAAUGCCCUAAGGACACUUGGCCAGCACAUUUUUUGCAACGUGGAAGUGGGGAGAGCGGGUGCCCGCCCGGGGAAAAGGAGAGGUUGUCGUGGACGCAGCCGGGGCAGCCGGGCGACCGCACUGGGCUACGGUUGUAGCUGCUGCUGUGAGAGAAGAAGAGAGGGGAAACACUUUUCCUCAUAUGACCGAUCCUUUCUAAAUCGUCGGACAAAUGCUACAUCGUCGAUUUGUUCUUCUAUUACAUAGACUGACUGGUCUAAUGGAUGCUAGGGAUCAGUAGUCUGGCCCCUAGUGUUUCGAUGAAACAUGCGCACUUAGUCACAAAUAUGCCUUUUUUCAAUAGAAUUUUUAAUAUAUUCAUCAAUCAUGGCAGCACAGAGAACACUGUAGGUAAUAGAAAUUACAUCCAGGUCUAUGGACCAUCUAGCGACGACUACAAGCACUGGAGCGAGCCGAAGGUGCCCCGCCAUCAUCGCCCCAUCCUCACCGGAGCGAGGCAAACCUUGUUGUAGUAGGAAGUCGGGAAGUCAUCACGCUAAGGCCUCAAAGGACCAACGUACCAGAGCAGCAACCAUCGCCGAUGAAGAGAGUUGUAGAACGGAAAGAUCAAACCUGUAACCAUAUGAACGAACAUAAACUGGAUGCAAAUAGAUCCAUCGAAGACCACCACCGACCGAAUCCCGUGAGAUCCGAUGGGGGCACACCUCCACAUGUCCUUAGAUGGCACUAUUCACAUCAUCGAGGCGGGGACAGGACGUGGGAGACAUUAUUCCUGCUGAGGGACAUCGCCACCGUCACAUAGCCCCAACCAAGACAUCAAACCUAACAAAAACGAGAACGGGUCUCUCGCGCCGGCGCGGGGGGGGGGAUCAUCCGCCGGGGGCGGAUCGACGGCGGCGCUGGCAGGAGAAGGAAGGAGACCUUUGUUAAGGAGGAAAGACUCACGCACAGUCACAAAUAUGCUUUUCUUUUACCACAUCAUAAACUAUGUCCAGGGAACUAAUCAAUCUUAGUUCAGGAACUAUCAUGCGCUCUGUAGCAAAGCACGAGUUUUGUGUUAAUUUACAAUAAUAUACAUGUAGUGCUCUCACAGUGUCAGUAGAAUAAGAGAAGUGGCGCGCAACGACACACUUAGCAGGUUUUGCGAAACGAGCGGCAUCUAACAAUAUACUCUCAACUUAAUAUAAGACGUUAUUUGACAAUGUCAUAGACUCUAAAAACGUCUUAUAAAAACUAUACUCUUUCCGUAACUUAAUACCAGACAUGUUUUUGACACUUUCAUAAACUCUGAAAACGUCGUAUAAAAAGUUACAGAGAUACUAGUAUUUUAUAAAUAAGCGGCAUGUGUAUAAAAAUAUAUUUAUUUUCUCCCUUUGCAAUACACGGCGUAUGUGCCAGUUGAAACUAGACGCCAACACAAUGUUCACCCCUUAACACUGGGGAGCAAAGAUUCCGCUAUUCUUUUUCUAGUAACCGGAAACACAAUGGGUGGUUGUAAUAUAUCUAGGGAAAGCCUUCAUGGGACUUUAUUGAUUGGCAGAUCAACUUACAUCGUCAACACAUUCAAAGUAAACUUAGGUGCCAUAUAGUGGACAAGGGUAUUUGUCGCUCUAUUACUUUUCCUAGGACAAUGAUCAAAAGAGAUGGAGCAAAACCCGCGUGCAAGGUUAGUGCAUUCCUUGUAAAUAGAUGUUGACGGGCUGAUGGAAUUUACCCCAUUCUUCAUGAUGUCGAGUACCUCCACACAGUCAUUGUUUCACAAAGAUCUUGUUACACCCAGUCUUGCUGGCGAGGAUUAGUACAUCCCAGAGUACAUGCGCUUCAAUGUUUAGUGCAUCUGCAACACAUGUAACACGACAGCUUUCAGGGUGUACAUCUAAGGUCUGGCUUUAAUUGGUUGUGCCUGACAGUGGCCUUGUUGAAGGCAUUGUUUUGAGAGCGUGUGUUUUUUUCAGGGUGUAAAACUAAGAUCUAUGAUCGGGUGACGAUGGUGCUUGUGCACUGUUUCCUUCUUGAAGGCGUCGCUUUGGGAGAAUUUGAAUUUCGGUGUUGUCUUGGUGGUGCUUCGUGCUGCAGUUACAAGGACAUUGCAUUUUUGCAGAGGCUGGACGUAAUUAGUAUCUCUGUGAUAUUAAUAUAUUUCUUUUGUCAAAAAAAAUUAUAACAUGACAGCAACUAGCAAAGAUAAACACACCAUGAUUGUCCCAAAUAACAGAACCAGUGGCACCUGAGCCCUCAUCAACAAAGAAGGUUGUGUCCAUAUUCAGUUUAACAAAACCUUCCCUUGGAUCUUCCCAACCACGGCAUCGGAUCACAAGGCUUGGCGUCGACGCCAAUAGUAAUUCCGUGUUGGCGCCGCAAUCACUUGGGCUCAUCAGGCGGGCAUUUGUAUACUCUCUUCAUGAACAACAUGUAUGCGCUCCCACCACAGAUACCAUAAUGUUGUAACAAACAAUUCUUUCACUCAACUUGAAAGAUGAUGUGCCAUCUUAUAUUAUUGCGUUAGAAACUUAGACUUGCUUAUAGAACUGUAGAUCUGAUGAGGCAAAUCUCUUCCGCUUAACUAAUUUACAAGGCAAAUAUUUUGUCUAGUUUCAAAAGGAGAACUAAAGAUCCCACUCGAUCACCACACAUGCUUUAGAAAUCUCAGUGUGGACAUCAAGGUUUCCCCGGACUUUCUUCGCCUUGGGACACCAAAAGAAUGCAUGUAGGGUAUCUUCACAAUGGAUUCUGCAUGGCAUAAACUGCUCGGGAUAAUAUGUAUGUUGCCUAGAACAAAACUGAAUGUCACAGUGCCACAUAAAAGUGUGCAAACAAAAGAUCUCAAGUCUAGAGACUUAGGGCCUCUUUGAUUCGUAGGAUUCUUAAAACAUAGGAACAGGAAAAUUAUAGGAUUGUAGUAGCAUGCCCACUUGAAUCCUAUAGGAAUAGCAAGGAGUGUUUAAUGCCACAGAAAAAACAAAGGAAUUAUAAAAAGAGGUCGGAGUGGAUGUUAGAUUUCUUAUGAAAUGUAGUACAAGAUUCCAUAGGGAAAAAAAUCCUAUGGGAUCCAAUCAUGUGAAUCGAAGGACCAAGAUAGAAAAAAUUCCUAAGGAUUUAAAUCCUCCAAAAAUUCUAUGGAAUUUCUUUGAAUCAAAGGGCCCUUAAGGUUUCUGCGAAGGUGUGGAUGGUUGUAAAUUGGCCAUGUUAUUUUUAGCAUUUAAAUUCAACUCGGUAAAUUAUCCAAUGAUCAUCAAAAAAGAGUAAAUUGCAUAGGAACAUUCCAUGUUAAACCAAGAGGCAACUAGAGUGGUCAAAAUACAACAAAAUAAAAACACAUAUGACAUGGGAAGCAUGACAAUGAAGAGAUCAAUCGAUCACGUGGUGUCACCAUUGCAUGUGUUGCAUUCUGGAUUUUUUGGGUUUCAUAUUAAUAGACCUAACAUACUUAAAAUAAUACUUUUUUAACAUUCAAAAUAUUUUUACACCAAAUCCAAAACAAUUCAAAUACUUUGAAAACAUCAAAAAGUAGAAGUAUCAAUUUUUUCAAUGACUUAAGAAAUUAAAGAUGCGAUUCACGAUUUCCUUCCUUGCGAUAGGUUACAGAUACCAUUUCAAUAAUCUUGUAACAAAUUUNNNNNNNNNNNNNNNNNNNNNNNNNNNNNNNNNNNNNNNNNNNNNNNNNNNNNNNNNNNNNNNNNNNNNNNNNNNNNNNNNNNNNNNNNNNNNNNNNNNNNNNNNNNNNNNNNNNNNNNNNNNNNNNNNNNNNNNNNNNNNNNNNNNNNNNNNNNNNNNNNNNNNNNNNNNNNNNNNNNNNNNNNNNNNNNNNNNNNNNNNNNNNNNNNNNNNNNNNNNNNNNNNNNNNNNNNNNNNNNNNNNNNNNNNNNNNNNNNNNNNNNNNNNNNNNNNNNNNNNNNNNNNNNNNNNNNNNNNNNNNNNNNNNNNNNNNNNNNNNNNNNNNNNNNNNNNNNNNNNNNNNNNNNNNNNNNNNNNNNNNCUAUUAAAACCACAAAAUUUAUAUUGGAUUGGAGGGACUAGUAUUUCAAUGAAAUUUCAACUUUUCCAACAUUUUUUCAGUUAUCACAUCAACUUAACAAACAUUCACUAAUAUUUCAAUUAUUUUUGGAAACUUUCAAUAGAUAUUUCACAUUUUAUUUUAACUAUUUCAUUCAUAUUUAAAUUUUUAAUGAAGUGUAAUUUUUUAAACUAAACAAUGAAAUAUUCAAUACCUAUAUGAAAUGUUUAUGAAUUUGUAUAUGACUGAAAUAAUUGAACUUUGUGUGAAAUAUCUCUAAACUGAUCCUGAAGAUGAUUCAAAUAUGACUGGAAUAAUUGAAAUCUCUGUGAUAUCUAUAAAUUGUACAAAAAAAUGCAGGAAAAUAAUUAAAUUUAAUUAAAAUAUGACUGGAAUAAUUGAAAUUCGUGCAAAACCUUCUGAUAUGUUUAUGAUACUGAUUGAAAUAAUUGCAUUUCCUGUGGUUGUUCGUGCAUAUUUUUAAACAAUGAUAUCUCACCGAUAUAACUCAGAAAAAUGAAUAGAAUUGAUUUCUUAAGAAUGUGCUGAAGUAAAUGCCAAUUCUGAUCAAAAUAUAACACGCAAAAAAAAUUUGUAGAUGUUUUACAGGAAAAGAUGAAAUAUUUGUGAAAUUGACUUGAAAUGUGCAAGAUUGGUAUACGGGAAUAAUGUCCAAUGCCCGCAAGUACUCCCUCCGUCCCAAAAUUCUUGUCUUAAAUUUGUCUAAAUACGGAUGUAUCUAGUUAGGAAGUAUUAAGUAAUAAACCAGAGCAUUGCAGAGAAUGAUGCUAAUGCAUUAGAGCAUGAGGGAUGCAUUGUCGUUGUACCGAUUCACUCCACCAUCCACGUCCUUGCCGCAUAGCGUCAUUUAUUUAGGACAUUAAAACUAGGCCUCUUCCUAGCCCUCUCACGCUAUCAACCUCCUCCACUGUUGGACUGCAUGAUUUGGUCGUUCCUUCCCAUGGAUCGGAUGUCAGGCCAUGUUCCACUUCAUUGGUCGGUUGUUCUAAAGGAGUGAUUUUCCAGAAGGAACAUACUUAAAAAAACACCGAUUACAAAUGUAGAUGCACACAACGACACAACGCCUACUGAAAAGUGGGUUGGAGUUGCGAGUUUCAAGAUUGACGAAGUCACCACGGGCACUUUGCUAUCAACGGAAAUGUCACCUCCCACUGAAACAAUAAUUUGCAUUAAUGAGACACCAAAGCGUCAACUGAGAUCUGAUUGCUGGUGGCUAGGGAUACCACCACCCUCCUAACCAUAUAUCCACUGGUUGGUUCUCGAAAAGAAAGUGUGUUAAAACUAUUUAAGAAUAGAGGAUAUAAUUCAUUUCCACUCCACAACAAUAGUCUGUUGUGAGGCCCGAAGUAGGCGCCGAUCAUCGGUUUACUAGUUCAAGAUAUAGUGAAAUGUCGAAACCCUACAUGCUAAUUAUAGUAGGUACUCCCUCCGUUGAACUAAAACCACGACAAUAAUUUUGGAACAGAGAGAGUAAUAUUCAUCUGUCUAACUGUUCCUAACUCGAGUUGUCCUAUAAGCACCCAAGGUUCACUUACAGUUUAAACUCCAACUGUAAUUAAACAGUAGUUUGCCAGUAAUUUACAGUUCUUACUGUGUUUAUCGUAUAUGUGAGAAAGAAAAUAUUUACGAGCGUCAUAACACAACAUCAUAAUAGAAGCAAAAUUACAGAGCUAGCAAUUCCUGUCCUUGCUAAUCUAUCUAUGCAAAAUUACAGAGUUAGCAAUUCCUGUCCAUAAAUACAUGGAUCUGUAUGCCUCAAUCCACCCCGCACAACCCUAUAAAUAUUUCCCCUAAAUACAAGCAAAAUUAUAGAGCUAGCUAUUCCUGUCCAUAAAAUACGUCUAUGCCUCCAUCCACAUACUUUCACGGAGAAAUACACUGCAAUAUCCGCCGAGCCAUUCACAACACUAGAGUGAACACUGUCACUAUGCUUUCAGAAUUCCUUUGCCCUAGUACACUUCAAGCAUCUAGGUUCAGGGGUGCUCGGUUUAUCACAAACUUUCAUAAACACAACAUGCCAAUGCACUAGUAAAACUGAACGAAACUGACUCUUUGUACGACGUUAGGGCCGGCGUUCAACCAUACAAGCAAACGGGCUCUCCGAACAGACAGCAUGAUCAGGAUGGCCGAUGGACCAUAAGAAAAUGAGAGCAUAAGUUGCCAUCACCAAGAUCGACUUCUGAUUAAAUAACGCCCAAGUGUUCAUCGUUCUCAUUUCUCAUGGAGCAACACACAGGCUACAUCCAGGACAUGAAGCAAGCGGGCAGAUCAGACCAUUUCCCCCCAGAGAUCAUUGUAAUUUACACCAUGAUGUCACAAUUUGAACCACGCAUUGUGUGUGCAGUUCACUGCAGUUGCCUUGAUGGCUACAACUCGCAGGUAGCGAGCGCCGACGCCUCACUUGCCGGGAACAAAGUUUGUGGCAAACGCCCAUGCGUUGUUGUUGACAGGGUCAGAGAGGUGGUCGGCGAGGUUCUCGAGUGGGCCCUUGCCGGUGACGAUGGCCUGCACGAAGAAGCCAAACAUAGAGAACAUGGCAAGGCGUCCGUUCUUGACUUCCUUCACCUUGAGCUCCGCGAAUGCCUCUGGAUCGUCAGCCAGGCCUAGUGGGUCAAAGCUGCCGCCAGGGUAGAGUGGGUCGACUAUCUCACCAAGUGGGCCGCCGGCAACGCGGUACCCUUCAACGGCACCCAUGAGCACGACUUGGCAUGCCCAGAUAGCAAGGAUGCUCUGUGCAUGCACGAGGCUGGGGUUGCCGAGGUAGUCAAGGCCACCCUCGCUGAAGAUCUGGGAACCGGCCUUGAACCAUACGGCCUCACCGAACUUGACGCCGUUGCGUGCAAGAAGCUCGGGGAAGACGCAUCCGAGCGCACCAAGCAUGGCCCACCGGCAGUGGAUCACCUCGAGCUCCCGGUUCUUGGCAAAGGUCUCAGGAUCGGCCGAUAGCCCGGCGGUGUCCCACCCAUAGUCGCCGGGGAACUCGCCAGUCAAGUAGCUCGGGGGCUCUCCAGAAAGCGGGCCGAGGUAGAGCACACGGUCAGCACCGUACCACGGGCUGCCUGAUGAAACUGGCUUGGCCUUUGCAGCGGUCUUGCGCAUAGUGACACGGGCCUCACCAAAGAGAGCUGAUGAAGCCACGUUCUUCACUGACUCGCCGGCUAAGGCCGAGGAGAGGGACAUGGUGGUAGUCGCCAUUGCGCUGCUAAGGCGGGAGGUGUAUUGUGUGUUCCAAACAGUGAAAACUGAAGAGUGAGUGUGGAGAUGGUUUGAGACGAGUGGAGGAUGGAGCUAUUUAAGGAACUGAUUGAGCUCUGGUCUGUGUGUACCGACAAGAUAGAUAUAGACAGGAAAAAAAUCUUUGAUCUUCGAUGCUAUUCGUGCAGCAGUGAUCUCGUCAUCCCUCAGGACGUGGCAACUUGAGACCCAGAGAAAGGAGAUAUGUUGUGGCUAGGCCUAGGAUCUUGAUGGAGAAUGGAGACGUGUGAUUGGACGAUGGAUCACAUGUUGAUUCUCACAUCAUCAGCUCACGGUCUGCAUGCAACGAGAUAGUAAACUUGUCUCUGAUGAAGUGGGUAGCCCAAGUGUGGUCAAGAAAGUGAUGGCAAUUUUAGGCCAUACGAUGAUUACUUCGUAGAUAUUUAUUGAAACCGUACUGAAGUUUGGUAUUUACCGAGACCGAACCUUAGUCAUAACUUCGUAUUUUGGUCCCUGGCACGUCCGACCGACAAUGUUCGACAAGCUUUGACGCCGUCAGUGACUUUGUGAGGUUACGUCUCCCUGGAUUUUGGGUGCCCGUCUUCUUUUCUCUGGGACGGCGAUUUGCGUUUCAGAUCAUCGUCGCCAGUGUCUUCUAGCUCCGAUCAACGACUUCCGGCUACCGCCUCAACAACGUUUUCCUGACUCGAUGGUGUUUGGUGGUCCAUAGGUGGUAUUGAGUUUCGCUCACUGCGCGUUGUUGACGAGUGCAGGAGGAAGGUGGUGUGGAUUUUCCCAAGAACCUAUGUGUAAUUUUAAAUUUCUACAAGAAUGACUUUGUAAGGGUCAAUUGAUUUCAAUACAUGACCGUCGCCUUUUGGAAAAAAAAUAAGAUCUUAUUUAUCGACUUAACCAAAUGCGCAGCCCUGCUGGCAAACACAGAGCCGGGCAUUUCUCCGUAAAAAAGAAAGAAUAAAAAGAGAGAGCCGGACAUUUUGUAGAACUUAAAUAAUCCCCGAAAAACCCUGGUUUCAAAGAUGACACUAGAGGGACAGCGCUUCGCCGCGCCCGGCGUUAGGUGCAUAAUUUGUAGUAGAUUUUAGGCGGGUCUCCAAUGUAGAGUUGUUGAGUUGCUAAGGCCCGCAUAUGUAGGCGUCAAAUCUUUCUUUUUCUGCUGAUGUCUCAAGCGCGUUCAGUCAAUCGUGGAGUGGAGACUGAUUCUUGGUUAAGUUAUCCAUGUCUUUCAGCCAUGAUAGCCCAACAAAGAGGCCUAAAUACACGAACAUCACAGAAAGAUGAACAACCACUGAAAAAUGAAGCACAAUCUGGCAGACAAACAACAAUAUUCAGAACAUAUGUGAAGGAGCAUCAGAGUUAGUUCAGUAAACAUCCAUAAGCAAACAUCUCCCCAAAUGUGAAGCAUACAUAUACAAAUCCAAAAGGACCAGUGAUCCCAUAGCAAGCACAUUGCAGCUGCAAAAUCAAUGAGAACUGCUAUACAGACGACAUUCACAGAUGAUUUCAGCAUGACACUCCAUCUCACACCAUCCAUUCAAGACGCCAAUGUACAGAAAGUUGUUGGAUUUGACAUCGGCUCAGGAUCGUGCAAGCAAAUGUCUGUGAAGUAGUUUCGAAAUCAAUCAACCAACAGUGGGCCCAUACUGCAGUAGGGCCACUCCACAGGGGCCAAAACACACCACGGGUCUACACAAACAGGAAGCAGCAUCAAACGGGCUCUCCGAACAGACAGCAUGAUCAUGAUGGUCGAUGGGCCAUAAGAAAAUGAGAGCAUAAGUUGCCAUCACCAAGAGCAACUUCUGAUUAAAUAACGGCCAAGUAUUUAUCGUUCUCAAUUUCUCAUGGAAAAACAAAUAGCCCAAAUUUUAUCGUUCUCAUUUCUCAUGGAGCAACGCACAGGCUACAUCCAGGACAUGAAACAAGCGGGCAGAUCAAACCAUUUCCCCAACGAUCCUUGUAAUUUACACCAUGAUGUUACAAUUUGAACCACAUAUUAUGUGUGCAGUUCACCGCAGUUUCCUUGAUGGGUACAACUCGCAGCUAGCGAGCGCCAACGCCUCACUUGCCGGGAACAAAGUUUGUGGCAAACGCCCAUGCGUUGUUGUUGACGGGGUCGGAGAGGUGGUCAGCAAGGUUCUCGAGUGGGCCCUUACCGGUGACAAUGGCCUGCACGAAGAAGCCAAACAUAGAGAACAUGGCGAGGCGGCCGUUCUUGACUUCCUUCACCUUGAGCUCUGCAAAUGCCUCGGGGUCAUCAGCCAGGCCCAACGGGUCGAAGCUGCCACCAGGGUAGAGUGGGUCGACUAUCUCACCAAGUGGGCCCCCGGCAACGCGGUACCCCUCAACGGCACCCAUGAGCACGACUUGGCAUGCCCAAAUAGCAAGGAUGCUCUGUGCAUGCACGAGGCUGGGGUUGCCCAGGUAGUCGAGGCCACCCUCGCUGAAGAUUUGGGAGCCGGCCUUGAACCACACGGCCUCACCGAACUUAACACCAUUGCGUGCAAGAAGCUCGGGGAAGACGCAUCCGAGCGCACCGAGCAUGGCCCACCGGCAGUGGAUCACCUCGAGCUCCCGGUUCUUGGCAAAGGUCUCGGGGUCGGCCGAGAGCCCCGCGGUGUCCCACCCGUAGUCGCCGGGGAACUCGCCGGUCAAGUAGCUCGGAGGGUCGCCGGAAAGCGGGCCGAGGUAGAGCACACGGUCGGCACCGUACCAUGGGCUGCCUGAUGAAACCUGCUUGGCCUUUGCAGCGGUCUUGCGCAUAGUGACACGGGCCUCACCAAAGAGAGCUGAUGAAGCCACGUUCUUCACCGACUUGCCGGCGAAGGUCGAGGAGAGGGACAUGGUGGUGGUCGCCAUUGCGCUGCUAAGGCGGAAUGUGUAUUGUGUGUUCCAAACAGUGAAAACUGAAGAGUGGGUGUGGAGAUGGUUUGAGACGAGUGGAGGAUGGAGCUAUUUAAGGAACUGGAGGGGUUGAGGCAUUGAGCUCUGGUCUGUUUGUACCGACAAGAUUGAUAUAGACAGGAAAAAAUCUUGACCUUCGAUGCUAUUGGUGCAGUAGAGAUCUCGUCAUCCCUCAGGACGUGGCAACGUGAGACCCAAAGAAAGGAGAUAUGUUGUGGCUAGGCCUAGGAUCUUGUUGGAGAUUGGAGAUGUAUGAUUGGAUGAUGGAUCACAUGUUGAUUCUCACAUCAUCACGGUCUGCAUGCAACGAGAAAAUAAACUUGUUUCUGAUGAAGUAGGUAGCGCAAGUGUGGUCAAGAAAGUGAUGGCAAUUUUAGGCCAUACGAUGAUUACUAGAGAUUAUUGAAACCUUCCUGAAGUUUGGUAUUUACCGAGACCAAACCUUAGUCAUAACUUCGUGGUUUGGUCCAUGGCACGUCCGACCAACAAUGUUCGACAAGCUUUGACGCCAUCAGUGACUUUGUGAGGUUAUGUCUCCUGGAUUUUGGAUGGCCGUCUUCUUUUCUCUGGGACGGCAAUUUGUGUUUUAGAUCAUCAUUGGCAGCAUCUUCUAGCUUCGAUCGACGACUUCCAGCUGCCGCAUCAACAACAUUUGUCUGACUCCGAUGGUGUUUUGCUGGUCCAUAGGCAGUAUCUAGUUCCGCUCACGGCGCGUCGUCGACGAGUGUAGGAGAAAGGUGGUGUGGAUUUUCCCAAAAACCUAUGUUUAAUUUUAAAUUUUUACAAGAAUGACUUUGUAAGGGUCAAUUGUUUUCAAUACAUGACCUUCGUCUUUUGGAAAAAAUAAGAUACGACUUAACCAAAUUAAAUGCGCAGCCCAAAGACAGAGCGGGGCAUUUCUCCGUAAAAAAAUAAAGAAUAAAAAGAGAGAGCCGGACAUUUUGUAACACUUAAAUGAUCCCCCGAAAAACCCUGGUUUCAAAGAUGAUACUAGAGGGGACGCCGCGCUUCGCCGCGCCCGGCGUUAGGUGCAUAAUUUGUAGGAGAUUUUAGGCGGGCCUGCCCAUGUAGAGUUGUUGAGUUGCUAAGAGCAUCUCCAGCCGUUGGCCCCCCAGGGGGCGCCUAAAAUUGCCGCCUGGGGGUGACCCAGCGAAAAAAAUGGGCCUGGGGGCGAGUUGGCCCCCAGCCGCCGCCCCCAGGGCCGGCCCCAGACGCGGGGAAAAAAAUUGUGUAGCAAAUUUACGCAAAGUUCGGCUAAAACACGCCAAAUUUCGGCAAACUUGGACUUAUAUUCGCGGAUUUAAGUCGAGUAGUCGCCAUUACAUAUAAAAACUAAUAAAAAAAACUUGCUGAAGGCCGAGAAGUCGCCGUCGUCGCCACCAUCGUCGGCCUUCUCCUCCUUGACUCAGGCGCCCCUGCUGGACCCCUCCCCGGCUGGUGGCGGCGGCGGCGCGUCGUCGUCGUCGUCGCUGUCGUCGAUGAUGACGACUCCUCCUUCGUCACGGCCUCGGCGGCGCUGCUCGAAGCGCCGCAGGGCGGCGCGCUGGUGCUCUGUCGCCAUCUUGAUGGAGUCCUGGCGUGCCCAUUCAAGGGCCGCGUCGUCGUCGAGCUCGACCUCGCCGUGCUCCGUCUUCACUGGCGCCAGCCCCGGCUCCGUCUUUGGCUUGACGAAGCGCGGAGGAGGAGCCGACGAGGAGGCGCGCCGGCCGCCCUCGUUGAUGACGAUGCCGGGCUCGGCCUUGACGCCGAGCAGCGUCGGAGUGCCGGAGGAGUGGGAAGAGGAGCGGGAGGACGAAGAGGAGGAGGACGCACCGAACCUCCUUGGCGCCCAUUGCCCGUCGCGUCGGUGGUGCGCCGGGGCGGCCGCCCUCGCCGGGGGGUACGCCAACGGCGGGUUGUUGCCGCCCUCGAGGUGCGUCAGCACGCCCUGAAGUGUGCGGCCGGGGGCGCCCCACCACAGGUGGCGCCCCUCGCUGUUCUUCACGCCGCCGACCACCGGCGCCCCAUUGGUGGACGCCAGCCGCUGCUGCUGGCGACGCUCGAAGUACGCCGCCCAAGCCGCGUGGUUGUCGGCGGCGUACUGGGGGAGGGAGAGCUCGGCGUCGGUGAGGGAGGCGCGCACGAUCUCGACCUCGUCGGCGAAGUAGGAUGGUUUGGCCACGGCGUCGGGCAACGGGGGAAUGGGCACUCCCCCAUUGCUGAGCCUCCAGCCCGUCGGCCCGGCGCGCAUGUCCGGCGGCGCCGGGAUGUUCGCCUGGAACAGGAGCCAGGACUCCUGUUCGCGGAGCGAACGGCGGCCGAAGCCGUUGGUCGCCGCCUCGUCUCCGGGGAAACGCUCGGCCAUCGGGGAGAUGGAGUGGCUGAGGAGAAGAGAUCAGCGGCGGCGCUCGGGAGAUGGAGUGGCUGGGGGAGAAGAAGAGAUCGGCGGCGGCGCUCGGGAGAGGGAGGGAUGGGGGAGAAGAGCUCGGCGGCGGCGCUCGGGAGAGGUGGAGAGGUGGCACUCAUCACAGGCGAGCGAGGCCAUAUAUAGCCGCGCCGCGUCCGUGUGUACGCGUCCGUGGGAGGGGAGGCGUCGGCACGCCGCCCCGUGAACGCGCCGCCCGUGAGGAAUCAAUGGCAAAGCUGACCGGCGGCAGCCUUGCCAUUGAUUCCCCGCGGGAAACCGAGGCGUCGGGAGAAGACGAGGCGGGCGGUGUCGCUGACACGGCCGGCCCGCAGCGCUUUCGCGCCAAAAACGAUUCGCCCGGCGCCCCCAGCGCGCCGGUUCGGGUUGGGUCCGCCGGCGCCAAUUUCAGCCCGAGCUGGCAAAAAAGGGCCCCUGGGGACGUGACUGGGCCGAUUUUUUGGCGCCGGUGGCCGAAAAAUCGCCUGGGGGGCCUUGUUGGGGGCGCGGCUGGAGAUGCUCUAAGGCCCGCGUAUGUAGGCGUCAAAUCUUUCUUUUUCUCCUGAUGUCUCACGCACGUUCAGUCAAUCGUGGAGUGGAGACUGAUUUGUGGUUAAGUUGUCCAUCUCUUUCAGCCAUGACAGCCCAACAAAGAGGCCUAAAUACACGAACAUCAAGAAAGAUGAACAACCACUGAAAAAUAAAGCACAAUCUGGCAGACAAACAACAAUAUUCAGAACAUAUGUGAAGGAGCAUCAGAGUUAGUUCAGUAAACAUCCAUAAGCAAACAUCUCCCCAAAUGUGAAGCAUACAUAUACAAAUCCAAAAGUAGGACCACUGAUCCCAUAGCAAGCACAUUGCAGCUGCAAAAUCAAUCAAACAACUCUCAAACUGAGCAUCCCAACCUAAACACCUGCAUACAUGCCUGCUCCUCAAAAUCCCGAACAAAAUACAAAGGAAAGCACAGGAGGCCAAAUGUCAGCAGAGACGUCGCCAACAGAUGAUGCAUUGAACCCACACAGAAGAAGAGCAACCAGCAACACGCGAAGGGCACGGCCACGGCCACCAAGGCGGCGGGCAGAGCCACAACGGCGGCAGCAGGUGACCCCAAAUCAAGGAGCACUCACCACAAAGCAAGCCUCUCACGAACACGGAAGUUCACGGCAGAAAACAAACCCCAAAUCAAGGAACACCGACCAACAAAAAAAAAUGGCCCAUACUACUUCCUCAAAAAAAAAAAAUGGCCCAUACUACAGUAGGGCCACUCCACAGGGGCCAAAACACACCACGGGGCCACACAAACAGGAAGCAUCAUCAAACGGGCUCUCCGAACAGAGACAACAUGAUCAUGAUGGUCGAUGGACCAUAAGAAAAUGAGAGCAUAAGUUGCCAUCACCAAGAGCGACUUCUGAUUAAAUAACGGCCAAGUAUUUAUCGUUCUCCAUUUCUAAUGGAAAAACAAAUAGCCCAAGUAUUCAUCGUUCUCAUUUCUCAUGGAGCAACACACAGGCUACAUCCAGGACAUGAAGCAAGCGGGCAGAUCAAACCAUUUCCCCAACGAUCCUUGUAAUUUACACCAUGAUGUUACAAUUUGAACCACACAUUAUGUGUGCAGUUCUCCGCAGUUGCCUUGAUGGCUACAACUCGCAGCUAGCGAGCGCCGACUCCUCACUUGCCGGGAACAAAGUUUGUGGCAAACGCCCAUGCGUUGUUGUUGACAGGGUCGAAGAGGUGGUCGGCGAGGUUCUCGAGUGGGCCCUUGCCGGUGACGAUGGCCUGCACGAAGAAGCCAAACAUAGAGAACAUGGCGAGGCGGCCGUUCUUGACUUCCUUCACCUUGAGCUCCGCAAAUGCCUCUGGAUCGUCGGCCAGGCCCAGUGGGUCGAAGCUGCCGCCGGGGUAGAGUGGGUCAACUACCUCACCGAGUGGGCCGCCGGCAAUGCGGUACCCCUCAACGGCGCCCAUGAGCACGACUUGGCAUGCCCAUAUAGCAAGGAUGCUUUGUGCGUGCACGAGGCUGGGGUUGCCUAGGUAGUCGAGGCCACCCUCGCUGAAGAUCUGGGAACCGGCCUUGAACCAUACAGCCUCGCCGAACUUGACGCCGUUGCGUGCAAGAAGCUCGGGGAAGACGCAUCCGAGCGCACCGAGCAUGGCCCACCGGCAGUGGAUCACCUCGAGCUCCCGGUUCUUGGCAAAGGUCUCGGGGUCGGCCGAGAGCCCGGCGGUGUCCCACCCGUAGUCGCCUGGGAAUUCGCCGGUCAAGUAGCUCGGGGGCUCUCCGGAAAGCGGGCCGAGGUAGAGCACACGGUCGGCACCGUACCACGGGCUGCCUGAUGAAACCGGCUUGGCCUUUGCAGCGGUCUUGCGCAUAGUGACACGGGCCUCACCAAAGAGAGCUGAUGAAGCCACGUUCUUCGCCGACUUGCCGGCGAAGGCCGAGGAGAGGUACAUGGUGGUAGUCGCCAUUGUGCAACUAAGGCGGGAGGUGUAUUGUGUGUUCCAAACAGUGAAAACUGAAGAGUGAGUGUGGAGAUGGUUUGAGACGAGUGGAGGAUGGAGCUAUUUAAGGAACUGGAGCUAAUAUAGGGGAUUGAGC
rnacentral:lncRNA from 1 species